GCGGUAGUAGUGUAGUGGUUAACACGUCAGUCUGUGGAUCUGAAGAUCGCGAGUUCGAUUCUCGCCUACCGCC
rnacentral:tRNA from 1 species